AGAGAAACAACACAUUUUAUCAUAGGGCCGGACAGCUACAUGUGCAAGAUGCUACCUCCAGGGAUUGAUUUUGGCCAGAUGUGCAGGAGAGAUGCAUAGAGAGGAGGAAAUGCAUACAUGUGUGCAGAUUUUGGCAUGUGCACAAGGAGCCUCGAGGAUUUUCUUUGGAUCUACAGUCAAAAUGGAUUUCCAAGAGGAAGCUGUGUGAAUACACACCUCUUCCCUGUGCUGGUGGAGAUGGUCUCAUCUCCGCCAGCCAGGUUUUCAGGAAAGUGAUCAGCACUUGCUUCAGCUCUGGCUAGAGCUCUUUGGCCAAUGUGAUGGGCAGAAAACUAGAAGGAGGACAGAAAAACACCUCGGAGGCUUGAAGAGUCAAGUCUCUCACCACCUUGCUGUAGGUUUUCUGAAUACUUCUGAGCGUAGGAACAUUUUUUCUUAAAAGACAAGUCAGGAGCUGCUAAGAUAAACCGUAGCAGUAAGCUCGAGCCAGGGUUAAUGUUUACCAUUGAUUGGCCACCAAGUGCUUGCUAUGUGCCAUGCAUUGUGCUAAGCACCAUCUCAUUUAAUAUUCACAACAGUCCUGUGAGGGCUCCAAGUUUGCCUCUGGGUGGAAGGAGAAGGUGGACUAGAACUCAUACGCACUGCAUCCUGGUGAAGAAAUGCACCCUGAGGCCAGAAAAUAGUAUAAACCCAUCUGGUUUCUGCAGCCCAGCAGCGUGAAGAUCAAAGUUGCGUAUAAGGAAUCUGAGGCUCAGAGAGGUUAAGUAUCUUGCCUAUGGGCACACAGAAAAAUAGUGCCAGAGAGAAAUUUAUCCUGGAACUAACAUUCAUGAAGGCCUUCCAGUUCAGACUCAAUACCAUUGCCAAGUCAGUGUUUGGAGAAAUAAGAAGCCAACACACUAGAAAAGUUGCAGGAGAUUCCUAGGGGAACCCACAAAGUUAACUCCAUGCCAGAAACCUGCUCCUCCAGAUGAAUCCAGUGCAUUGGAUGGGCUCAGAGGCACAGGGGGUACAGACCUCUACCGAAAAGAACAAUAGUGGAAGACCGAAGAAACCCAGAUUUUGAAGUCUGAGAGCCACGUGGGGCUGCCCCAGUUACCUCUACCCCUGGUCAGUGACCAGAGUAUCCUUUAGCAGGGGCAGCAGGGAUGUUUAUUUCACUGGUAUGUAUAAAGUAACUGACUGAAAACAACCUGCAUGCCCAGCAGCUUGGAACUGGUUAAAUGAUUUUUGAUUCGGCCACACAGUGGAAUAUCAUGCAGCCAUUAAGAAUAAAUCAAAAGUCCUACACUUCCCAUAUUCAACGUCAGAUUUUAAAAUAACUGAACAAACACCUUCACAAUUAGGCUUCCUCAGGUUGAAACGUGAAGUCAAGUCAACGUGUGUCAGAACAUUAACAACAGCUAACUGUUGGUUGUGAUGUUCUGAGUAAUUUCUGAGUAACUUAUAUUAUUUUUCAGGUUUUUUUCCACUCCUGAUGUGCAAAUAUACACAUUUGUAAAGAGCAAUAACAUAAAUCUCUGCAUAGGCAGACUGGAAGGAAAUCAGACAAAACCAUACCUUUGGGUAGUAGAAUUAUAAAUCAUUUUCUUCUUCUUUAAGUUUCUGAAUUUUCUGCAUUUGAUAUGUUUACCUUUAUAAAGCAUCCAUCAUAUUUAAGAUGAUUUGUCUAAAAGACAAGUAGACAGGGAAAGAGGGGUCUGCUGUUGCAAAACCAAAGCUGCAGGUUUUCCAAAGCACCCUUAUGUCAGUUCAAUUGAUAGUUCAUGAACCUCUAAUGUGCAAAUCACUUUCCACUGGGGGGGUGAGAAAUACAGAGAUGAAGGAGAUUGCAAACACUUUAAUCAAAGAAAUCACAGUCCAGUUAGGAAGAUAAGAUUCUGCAUUAUAUAAAUUACAAGGUCUUAUCCAAGAGGUUAGUCUGUCAAGAGUAAUAGCAAUAAUUACCCAACAAUAUGUCAGAGUGUCUAGGAGUUCCAGCUUCAAACCACUUCAUCUUCAUUCUUAAACUCAUCUCAAUUUCUUAACCAUAUGGGGCCCGAGCCUCAGUUACCUCUUCUAUCAAUGUAAACUGCCUCUUGGGGUACCUUUCGUGAAGAUUAAAUGAAGCUUGAGCAUAAAGGGGCUGAGCUAGGUGCUUUGGAAAUAGUCCUACCUCAGCAUGAGAGACAUUACCAUCAUUAUGGCUGAUUAUGGCUGUGGUGUUUGUGGUCACCUAUCUGCAAGUCAUGCUUUCACAAAUAUGGCAGAGCUGGGAUUUGAACCCGCAUUGAUCUAAUUCCAAAACCAAUGAUUCUACCCCAACCAGACACUGCAUUUACUUUCUAUGCCUAAUUGAAAUUUGUUCUAAACCUCACCCUAAGAUCUUGCCAGAAAGAAAAGCUAAUUUUUCAUUAAAAGAUCAAAGGAGAAAUGAA